rnacentral:rRNA from 1 species
UACGAAGGGGGCUAGCGUUGCUCGGAAUCACUGGGCGUAAAGCGCACGUAGGCGGCUCUUUAAGUCGGGGGUGAAAUCCUGGAGCUCAACUCCAGAACUGCCUUUGAUACUGAGGAUCUUGAGUCCGGGAGAGGUGAGUGGAACUGCGAGUGUAGAGGUGAAAUUCGUAGAUAUUCGCAAGAACACCAGUGGCGAAGGCGGCUCACUGGCCCGGUACUGACGCUGAGGCACGAAAGCGUGGGGAGCAAACAGGG